GCAAGUCGUACGCGAAAGCUUCCUUCGGGAAGCAAGUAAAGUGGCGCACGGGUGAGUAACACGUGGAUAAUCUACCCAGUAAUCAGGGAUAACAUUUCGAAAGAAAUGCUAAUACCGGAUAAGCCCACGAUCUCUUCGGAGAGCGAGGGAAAAGGUGGGGACCUUCGGGCCUGCCGUUUCUGGAUGAGUCCGCGGCCCAUUAGCUAGUUGGCAGGGUAAUGGCCUACCAAGGCUACGAUGUUUAGCGGGUCUGAGAGGACGAUC
rnacentral:rRNA from 1 species